rnacentral:rRNA from 1 species
ACGGGAGGCAGCAGUGGGGAAUAUUGCACAAUGGGGGAAACCCUGAUGCAGCGACGCCGCGUGAGUGAAGAAGUAUUUCGGUAUGUAAAGCUCUUUAAGAUGGGAAGAAAUUGACGGUACCAUCAGAAUAAGCCCCGGCUAACUACGUGCCAGCAGCCGCGGUAAUACGUAGGGGGCAAGCGUUAUCCGGAUUUACUGGGUGUAAAGGGAGCGUAGACGGUAUGGCAAGCCUGAUGUGAAAACCCGGGGCUCAACCUUGGGAUUGCAUUGGGAACUGUCAAACUAGAGUGUCGGAGAGGUAAGUGGAAUUCCUAGUGUAGCGGUGAAAUGCGUAGAUAUUAGGAGGAACACCAGUGGCGAAGGCGGCUUACUGGACGACUACUGACGUUGAGGCUCGAAAGCGUGGGGAGCAAACAGGAUUAGAUACCCUGGUA